UACGUAGGGCGCGAGCGUUGUCCGGAAUUAUUGGGCGUAAAGAGCUCGUAGGCGGCUUGUCACGUCGGAUGUGAAAGCCCGGGGCUUAACUCCGGGUCUGCAUUCGAUACGGGCUAGCUAGAGUGUGGUAGGGGAGAUCGGAAUUCCUGGUGUAGCGGUGAAAUGCGCAGAUAUCAGGAGGAACACCGGUGGCGAAGGCGGAUCUCUGGGCCAUUACUGACGCUGAGGAGCGAAAGCGUGGGGAGCGAACAGG
rnacentral:rRNA from 1 species